rnacentral:rRNA from 1 species
GACGAACGCUGGCGGCGUGCUUAACACAUGCAAGUCGAACGGAAAGGCCCUGCUUUUGUGGGGUGCUCGAUUGGCGAACGGGUGAGUAACACGUGAGUAACCUGCCCUUGACUUUGGGAUAAAUUCAGGAAACUGGGGCUAAUACCGGGUAGGAUCUCCUGCUGCAUGGUGGGGGAUGGAAAGUUUCGGCGGUUGGGGAUGGACUCGCUGCUUAUCAGCUUGUUGGUGGGGUAGUGGCGUACGACGGGUUUGACGGGUAGCCGGCCUUGGAGCGUGAACGGCCACCUGAGGACUGAGGUACGGACCAGAAGGCAAUGGGAGGCAACAGUGGGAAACAUUGCACAAUGGCGGGGAGCCUGAUGCAGAAACGCCGCGUGCGGGAUGCCGGCUUUUGGGUUGUAAACAGAUUUCGCAUGUGCCGAAGCGUGAGUGACGGUAAUGAGUAAAAAAGCACCGGCUAACUACGUG